AGGAUUUCAUCCCAUUGGAGGUAUAUAGGGCACUAGCCUCCUAAGUUAGUAAUCCCCGGUUCAAAUCCGGGCGGGCCCGCCA
rnacentral:tRNA from 1 species